AAUUAUCGGCGUGAAGUGUGCGGGAUUGAAAUUUGAAACAAGUUGGUCAUGGUUUCAAAAUUUGAACAGUCAACCCAAUCAAUGAAAAAACACAAAAUUGAGUCUUGUUUGUAAAAUAAAUUCCUGGAAUUUGAGAAUGAGUUUCCACAAACUAACUUGUUUUGCUGUGGUGGGCUUCCCAUUUAAAUCUGGGCCUCUCUUUCGGUUUCCGCGUUCGAAAAAGGAACCACUUUUUGCCAGACUAAAUUAAGAGCUCCAGUGUGUUCAAAAGUCUGUUCCCCAACUCAUUGCGUUCUGUUAAUAUUUGUCAAGAAAGAUACACGUAAGAAUAUAACAGUGAGGAGUUGCGGAAACAUGCGUCGUCGGUGUCGGUACCAAAAGUGGAUCAGAUGAAAAUUUAUUUUUCACCAUUACCACCAUUGAUCUGACUUUUUCCACAACACAAAAAGAAGAUGUAGAAUUAUCGAAAAUGUGGUUUUAUAGUCCACGCAAAAGAGUGACUCCAGUGGAAGGUAUAAAUAAAUACAUACAGGGAAUGUAUUUUAAAAACAAAACAUACUUUCAAAAUUGCCGCCUUUUCUAGUUCACGGGCCGGACGCGUUCUAUUUUGUAGGUGUUCUGAGCAUCUAUAAAUGAAAAUAAAAUCGGCGUCGCGUUGACUACGGUUCUGUGCCACGGGUCAACUGUGAUUUGGCUAAUCCAAACUAACCGUAUUUAUGAAUGAUUUGAAUUCUCUUAUUUGGUGAGAUUAAUUAUUUGGAUUCUCUUAUUUGGUUAGAUUAACAAAAAUAAUUAAAAAUAAAGCAUAUUUGAAGGCCCAACUUUACAGGGCCGUAACUUUCUGGGGAUGUUUUUUUGGACCCAUGUAGAUAGGAACUUUUCAUAUUUUGAAGUAUGGAAUUACCCCUUGAAGUUAGUGCACGCAAUUUCUGGACAUUCAACAUUGCUUUGAUUCCGCGCUCUUAAGGGUAUAGAACACCAAAACUAUUUUUAAUUUUUUUUUUGAUAAUACAGAAAAAUAGCUUAAAAAUUCUAUAUUUAUUUGUAACGGUGUAAAAUGAUUUUGAACAUCAAACCUGAGUAACCAUCUGUAGAAAAUUUAUAAAUUAUUUUUAAAAAGCUAUCAGAACCGUAAUUCUGUUGUUAUGAUUGAGCGUUUUUUUUUUGUUUUUCUAAUUUAUUUAUUGCAAAAUCACUGUUUAAAUUUUUGCAUUUUUCACACCGCAAUGCAAGACUUAUCUCAUAAAAAAAAAUGUGUUUUCUCUCAAUCAAUUUUCUCAAUUUUCAACAACAAUAUCAUCAAUUUUUUUAAAUUUGAGUGUAAGCUUAAGGUUAAGUUGAAGACGAAUUUAGUUUCACUAUGCUUAAUGUUCACACCCAAUAUUUGGCUUAGCCCAUUUCUAUUGUAAUUUUUAUCACAUUCUGGUCGCACCGUCCUACACAACCCAGGGAAGCCAAAAGAACAUGGCGUUUUCUUCAUUUAAAAUGUAAACUGAAAAUUCAUACUUAAUUAAUUCGUUUGGAGUCCAAUAAUUAUUUACAUUACAAACUAAAAAAGCUCACUUUUAGGUGCGAGGUUAUUUAAAAACUCCGAACACCUGAAAGAGCGUGUAAUAUAUAUAUUAAACUUUAUUCUCCCUUUGACAUUUAAUAAAAUAAAAUGAUUCAGUAAUUAUAGUAAAGGUAUUCCUACGCCACCAGAGCCUAUGCAGCCGCUCUUGCUCAUACGACUGGUUCGUCUUGGCUCCUGGGAAAAAACUUAGCAACAACUCGUCGGGCUAUGUUUUAAAAAGUGUUUUAGCCAAACGCAAAAAACAUAGGGUUGCUAAAUACUACAAAGCUGGCGGUGUUAAAAUUAAAAACAGAAAAAGAGGUGCCCCCACAGAUUGUGAAUAUGGUCCACAAGCUGCUCAACCUGAUAUAACCGACGAAGAAUUUGCUAAAAGACGUGCAGCUUUUCUGCAAAAAAUGAGUGCUACCGAAUUGGACAAAAUUCACCAUGAUUCAACUGGGCAACAUACCAACCCUUUAUGGCAUGAGAUGCGAAAAGAUCGGAUUACGGCAUCAAAUUUUGGAAGAAUUUGUAAAAUGACUGAUUCCACAUUGGGUAAAAACGCCGUAAAAGCCCGUAGCUAUAAAAAAUUUGAAGAAAAAUACAAAACGACCGUACAAAAAUGUGGUCUUUUUAUUAACCAAAAUUAUUCAUAUUUGGGAGCCAGUCCUGAUGGGUUACUGGGGGAAGAGAGCAUCAUCGAGGUAAAGUGUCUCUAUUCCAUAAAAGAGAAAACCCUAGAUGGUCCCUAAAUUAACACAGGCAAACUGUGUUAUAAACUAGUUGAUGAGAAUAUUGAAAUAAAAACUAGCCACAACUAUUUUUACCAGGUCCAAGGACAAUUGAACAUACUUCAUACUUUUUACAAACGUCAAUUUCGUUGUGAAAAGAACAGUGAAGGAUACCGAUUUUUGGGAAGACAUGUUGCCCAAACUUAAAAAUUUUUAUAUGGACAAUAUUCUGCCCGAAUUAAUAGAUUCAAGAAUUCCGCGAAAUAUGGAUCCGAGGGAAUCGGAGUACAGGAUAGUGGCACAUUUAAAAAAGCAUGCAAACAAAAGAAA